rnacentral:tRNA from 1 species
GCCCCCGUAGUCUAGAGGCCAAGGACACCACCCUCUCACGGUGGUAACCCGAGUUCAAAUCUCGGCGGGGGCA